GUGAAUGCUGGCGGCGUGGAUGAGGCAUGCAAGUCGAAUGGGUUCAGACCCAUGGCAGACGAGGUAGGAACACGUAGGUACGUACCGGAGAGUCAGGGAUAACCUGCCGAAAGGCAGGAUAAUACUUGAUAGUCUCGCGAGAGUAAAGAUUUAUCGCUCUCUGAACGGCCUGCGUUCUAUCAGCUUGUUGGUAAGGUAACGGCUUACCAAGGCUACGACGGAUAGGGGAGGUGAGAGCCUGACCCCCACCGAUGGAACUGCGACACGGUCCAUACUCCUACGGGAGGCUGCAGUCGAGAAUCUUCCGCAAUGGACGAAAGUCUGACGGAGCGACGCCGCGUGGUGGAUGAAGUCCUUAGGGACGUAAACACCUUUUAUGAGGGAAGAAGUUUAUUGACGGUACCUCAUGAAUAAGGGGCUCCCAAUUCUGU
rnacentral:rRNA from 1 species